rnacentral:lncRNA from 1 species
CUGAAAUUGCUGGUUAGAAAGGGAAGCAGUGGCCCACUUUUCAGUAGAUUUUAUACUUCUCAAGACGUGAACAUUCCAACUGAUAGAAGCUUCACAAUCUGGACAGGGCUCAUUCUUUGACAAAGGACAAACAAAGGGGCAGGUAAAGUUCCUAUGGAAAGUGCUUAGUGUCCACGAGAUUGGCUAUAAAAACAACCGUGAAUAUGACUAGCUUUGAGAGUCAGAAACUCUGAUCAUCUGCCAAGGCUCUCCACCGGCAAGAAAAAGGUCAUUGUGUCUAAGCCCAAAGCCAUGAGAUGGAGGAAUACACUCUUCCCUCAUUGAGGAGG